rnacentral:lncRNA from 1 species
UGUGUGUGUGUGUGUGUGUGUGUGUGUGUGUGUGUGUGUGUGUGAGAGAGAGAGAGAGAGAGAGAGAGAGAGAGAGAGAGAGAGAGAGAGAGAGAGAGAAUUUGUUUUGUGGGAUAUCGGUGAGUAAAUCCAACCCCUGGCUUUAGUCUGCAUGUCCAGCAUUGCUAGCACAUCAGAAAUAUCAAAAUGAGCUGCCAGAUUCCCCUCUCCCAUUUCUCUCUGAGGCUGGCAACUGUUUAGGCUGUCUGUUUUGACUCUUGCCAAAGGGUUUACAGACCCCACACUUGUCCUCUUGAAGGGUGUGCAUUUUGAUGUUGAACAUCAGCUUUUAUUUAAACUUAAGACUCACAUGCAGUAAUAUAGGCAAAUGUAAUUCUGGAAGCAGGAAUAGCAGUGGUAAUGUAACACCAUCCUGUUGAGAUUCAGAUUAGUCCUGAUAAUGUGCUGCCAGUUGAAUUACUUCUAAUAAAAAUAAGGUGUUGAAGUGUUUACAUGUACUUUGAGUACUUUGAUCUCCCUGCACUUAUAUGUGUUUUAGUUCCCCAAGUGAAGUGUUCAUGAAUGUUACCUAUGCUUGUUUGAGUGUCCCACACAUAGGGCCAGAUAUCCUGCACUUGGAAAUGCUGCGCUCACCUAAUAACGUAGGUUGACUUUCCUAAUUAUGGAUAGGCACUGUUCCAAGCCUAUCCCAGUUGUCACUUUAUGUUUGAAUGGUUUGCUCUCUGUAGAAGAAAGGAAAAGAGAAACAGAGAGAGAGGGGAUGGGAGGGAGGGAGAGAGGAAGGGGGAGAAGGAAGGAAGGAAGGAAGGAAGGAAGGAAGGAAGGAAGGAAGGAAGGAAGGUUGUCCUGCCUAUUCCAUACCAUUUGAAUAAUUUCUUUAGAGUUUUUGAUGGACUUCAUUGUAAAAGGUUAGAAGGCAUUAAAAGUUAUCAUGUGUGUUAUAUUUAUAACAUAUUCUUGCAGCCAAAACACAAAAGUAGACUAACCAAGUUGAAUUUGAUUUAAAAAAACAAAAAGGCAGGGAGGGAUCAGGGGCAUUAAAAAUAAGAGGUUAGAACCUAAGAAGUCAUCCUUAUCUACAGGGCCAAAGGGGCUGGAUUCCUCUGUUGUGUUAUCUUACCUGGUUCUUUACUUACACUGUCAAAGACUUCACAGUCCCAGAGGGUAUGCCAGGAGGGGGCCUUUCUAAAUGAAUCCUGUGAACACUGCAUUUCUUUGCUUCUUUAGUGAAAAACAUUUCAAGACAAAUGAAAGGAAAUGAUAAAAAAAAAAAAAAAACCUCUUCAUUGCUUUGCUGAUUUUGAGGUAUGCCCUCAAAUAUCCCCCAAAGCAAACAGAGGCAACAUGAGUGCCAGAUCUGGCAAUAUGUUCUAAAUCUUCACUCUCUACCAGAUAAUUUCUAUUUUUAAGCUCUUUCCCUUUGGAAGCAGACACAUGAGAAGCCUUCCAGGCACACUGGGAUGCACAUUGUACCCGUUCCAUCAGUGUGCAUAUGUGGAAGAUACCCAGAACUCCGUGCUUCUGCAGCCUAGUGGACAUCUUUUAAGGUUGCUGUUGCUGGACUAUUCAAAUAUUUGAAAAGAGUCAUCUUAGCUGUUAACAGGUAGAAGGAGACAUGUAUCCUGGGCAAUGACUCAAAAUAAAUCUUAAAUUACAGGGACUCUAUGAU